CAGGCCCUUUGCUUCCGCAGCUAGCCCUGGCAGUGUCAAGGUUCCUUCGCUGAUGCCCAGACCCCUGUGGAACAGGAGCCCCUUCCUAGCACGCUUCCUGGACAGUGGGUGUGGUUGCAUUUACUAGUACUUACAGACAUUUCUGGCUCCCCUCCCUCUUCUGGACACAAAGAGGACUGCUUUACCCGACUUCCCUGCAGGGCCAUGGGACCGGUUCUAGCAAAAGCCUGGAAAGGAGGCAACUUGUCCCCUGGUGUGAGAUUUUCCAUGCUUGCUCCUCCUACUGCUGUGAACCCCAAAGCCUCAGGUUGCUGGAAGAUUGCAUAAGCCUGGGACUGAGUAAGACCUUGGAUGGCCCUGAAACGUUGGCUACCCCAACUGAUACAGUGCCAGGAACUGGAGCUCCUCUGAGAAGCAUCCUCUGCAACUCUGACAGAAGCCUCCCUCUGAAGCUUUAAGUGCCUUUGAGUGUUCUGGGAAG
rnacentral:lncRNA from 10 species